AUACAUGCAGUCGAGCGGAUCUUCAUUAGCUUGCUUUUGAAGAUCAGCGGCGGACGGGUGAGUAACACGUGGGCAACCUGCCUGUAAGACUGGGAUAACUUCGGGAAACCGGAGCUAAUACCGGAUAAUCCUUUCCCUCACAUGAGGGAAAGCUGAAAGACGGCAUCUCGCUGUCACUUACAGAUGGGCCCGCGGCGCAUUAGCUAGUUGGUGAGGUAACGGCUCACCAAGGCAACGAUGCGUAGCCGACCUGAGAGGGUGAUCGGCCACACUGGGACUGAGACACGGCCCAGACUCCUACGGGAGGCAGCAGUAGGGAAUCUUCCGCAAUGGACGAAAGUCUGACGGAGCAACGCCGCGUGAACGAUGAAGGCUUUCGGGUCGUAAAGUUCUGUUGUCAGGGAAGAACAAGUACCGGAGUAACUGCCGGUACCUUGACGGUACCUGACCAGAAAGCCACGGCUAACUACGUGCCAGCAGCCGCGGUAAUACGGUAGGUGGCAAGCGUUGUCCGGAAUUAUUGGGCGUAAAGCGCGCGCAGGCGGUUCCUUAAGUCUGAUGUGAAAGCCCCCGGCUCAACCGGGGAGGGUCAUUGGAAACUGGGGGAACUUGAGUGCAGAAGAGGAGAGC
rnacentral:rRNA from 1 species